rnacentral:rRNA from 1 species
GAUGAACGCUGGCGGCGCGCCUAACACAUGCAAGUCGAACGGCACCCACCCUCGGGUGGAAGCGAGUGGCGAACGGCUGAGUAACACGUGGAGAACCUGCCCCCUCCCCCGGGAUAGCCGCCCGAAAGGACGGGUAAUACCGGAUACCCCGGGGUGCCGCAUGGCACCCCGGCUAAAGCCCCGACGGGAGGGGAUGGCUCCGCGGCCCAUCAGGUAGACGGCGGGGUGACGGCCCACCGUGCCGACAACGGGUAGCCGGGUUGAGAGACCGACCGGCCAGAUUGGGACUGAGACACGGCCCAGACUCCUACGGGAGGCAGCAGUGGGGAAUCUUGCGCAAUGGGGGGAACCCUGACGCAGCGACGCCGCGUGCGGGACGGAGGCCUUCGGGUCGUAAACCGCUUUCAGCAGGGAAGAGUCAAGACUGUACCUGCAGAAGAAGCCCCG